UGAAUAACUUUCUGCUAUUGAUACGAGUCACACUACAAAAUAGAUACACAACUGAUAUAUCUGAUAAUGAACAGAAAAAUAUGUUUAUAAAAAUUGUAUUGGUGAGAACAAUACAAGUUACCUAUUAUAAAAUAAUAAAUAAGGCAGUCAAAACAUUUGAAUGUGGUGGCUAUAUUUGUAAAAUAAUAAUGAACAAAAAGAUAAACUAUGGAUAAAUUCAUAAAUAAAUUAAACUUGUCUAUGUUAAAUAUUUAUUAUUUAAAUAGAAUGUUGUUAUCAGGUUGUAGGAAAAUAUCUAAGAUUUUGUGCUUGAAAUGUGCUAAAAUGCUUUUCAUUUCAAGUAUUUUAAAUUAAUAUAUAAAUUAUAAAAAAAUGAAUAAAAACAAGUCAAAGAAAUACAUGUAUUAAAAUAGACAGGCGGCCUUAUAUCUCAUUAAAAUAAAGAGCUAGGAAAAAGUCAAUACUCAUAUUGUUCAUAGGUAGGCCACUGUUUUGAAUAUGAAUUGAAAAGAUAGCACGAGAUAAUUUAGAUUAAAGCCACAUUUACACAGUAACAGUCACCACUAUUAAGUAAUAGCUAUACUUAGCAGUACUAAGUAAUAGCUAUACUUAGCAGUACUAGCGAGAGUACAUGACAGUAGUAACUCUGGUAGCUACCAUGGACUGUUAACGUGUAAUCACUAUUCACACAUUGUGCAACAACUAUUGUCACAUGCAAAAUAUUUGUUAUCACUCAGCGCUAAAAGUGAUACGUGUUAAGCCACAUUUACACAUUUAAUUACCUUUAUCGUUUUUGUUAACCAUGUUUGUUAUAAUCAAAUUUCUUAACAAUAUCAAUUUCAUCCAUGAUUGUGAAACAAAGCGAUUCCCAAAUUUAAGAUUCAUUCAGAGAGGGAUAUUACUAAAGAACAACUAUUGCCGAUAUCCAGCACUUAAAGAAUAAAAGGAUUAUGGGCUAUUCAGAAGCUUUAGAAAUACUUACAACCAAAAACUAAUAAGAGCAUAAAAAUCAAUGGAUCAUAACUAGAGCUGGGAUUUAUAUAUAAUAAAAAAAAACAAUAAUAUGAACAUUUAUAUAUGUAAUUAAAAUGACCAAAAUAUGUAGUGAAAAUUAAAAAAAUUAAAAAUAUGGAAAUGUGUAUGAAAAUGUUGACCAAAAUAGGUAGUAAAAAAUAAAGUGUGUAAUAAAAAAAAUAUUAAAAAAUACCAAUCCAAAGUAAAACAAUGACAAACCAUAUAGUGUUAAGUUUUCAAAAUUAAAGCUAUGACUAUUAGGUCUUAACACUAACUUAUAUUGAUUAAACUAACGUUCCACAUCACAGGAUGUUAUCAGUGCAUACUUCAUGACUGUUAUUUCACUAAGUGAAAAAUCGAGCUCCAUCAUAUUUUCAUUCAAUAUACCACAAAGAAUGUUUCCUAUAAAUUUAAUAGACUUCAGUCCCGAAUUUUUUUAGCUGAAACUAUGUUCAUUUUAUAUUUUAAUAAAUCAGCUAUUGGGCCUUCCAAUUCAUUAAUUUUGAAAUUGAUGAAUCAAUAAUUUUUAAGUUUUUACUUAAUGAGAUCUUAGUAUUUUAUAGAUCCCAGCCCUAAAUAACAAUCAAUGUUAACCCUAUAAACACUUAUAACUUUUACGAGUAGUAUUAUCAAAAUAUAAUACUAUUAAACCACCAAUUUUAAUGAUGUAAAUUGACAAAAUAGGUUAUGAAAAGAGGAAAUUUUACAACUCGUGUAAAAAUAUGUAUUUAAGAUGAAAAAUGUAAAAUGAAAUUUGUCUUAUUUCACAUGUUCUAAAAUCACAAAAUCUCAUUUGUCCUGAUUAAUUUAUCAUGUGUUAAUAAAAAUAUGUAAUUACAUAUAAAUCUCAGCCCUAAUCAUAACUCUUAUAACUAAGAAAUCUAUUAUAUCUGCUAUCUUUAAUAAAUUGUACACCUAUAAUAUUUCAAUUUAAAUAUAUUAUAAUAAUAAUAAUAAUAAUAAAUGAAAAUAAUAGGUGAUAAUAGCUUAUGGCUGCCACAACUGCAUAUUAAUUUGCAUUCACGUGUAAACAGUACUCCUCCUGUGACAGUAACUGCUGUAGAAUGUUGUGGUAGUACAGUCGCCAUGUAAAUGCACCUUAAAUCCUGAAUGCAACAAUAAAUCAUUUCAAACAUAAUACGAUUUUGAAUAAACCCUAUUUAAACAUUUUGUUGCUAAAUUAAAAUUGAAAAUUAUAUUGAUUGGCAA
rnacentral:lncRNA from 1 species